rnacentral:rRNA from 1 species
CCUACGGGUGGCAGCAGUGAGGAAUAUUGGUCAAUGGGCGCGAGCCUGAACCAGCCAAGUCGCGUGAGGGAGGACGGCCCUACGGGUUGUAAACCUCUUUUGCCGGGGAGCAACGGGCGCCACGUGUGGCGUCACUGAGAGUACCCGGAGAAAAAGCAUCGGCUAACUCCGUGCCAGCAGCCGCGGUAAUACGGGGGAUGCGAGCGUUAUCCGGUUUUAUUGGGUUUAAAGGGUGCGUAGGCGGAUGGUAAGGUCAGUGGUAAAAUUGAGGGGCUAAACCCCUUCCCGCCGUUGAAACUGGCGUUCUUGAGUGGAAGAGAGGUAUGCGGAAUGCGUGGUGUAGCGGUGAAAUGCAUAGAUAUCACGCAGAACCCCGAUUGCGAAGGCAGCAUGCCGGCUUCCGACUGACGCUGAAGCACGAAAGCGUGGGGAUCGAACAGGAUUAGAUACCCUUGUAGUC